rnacentral:rRNA from 1 species
GACGAACGCUGGCGGCGUGCCUAAUACAUGCAAGUAGAACGCUGAAGGAGGAGCUUGCUUCUCUGGAUGAGUUGCGAACGGGUGAGUAACGUGUAGGUAACCUGCCUGGUAGCGGGGGAUAACUAUUGGAAACGAUAGCUAAUACCGCAUAAUAGUAGAUGUUGCAUGACAUUUGCUUAAAAGGUGCAAUUGCAUCACUACCAGAUGGACCUGCGUUGUAUUAGCUAGUUGGUGAGGUAACGGCUCACCAAGGCGACGAUACAUAGCCGACCUGAGAGGGUGAUCGGCCACACUGGGACUGAGACACGGCCCAGACUCCUACGGGAGGCAGCAGUAGGGAAUCUUCGGCAAUGGACGGAAGUCUGACCGAGCAACGCCGCGUGAGUGAAGAAGGUUUUCGGAUCGUAAAGCUCUGUUGUAAGAGAAGAACGAGUGUGAGAGUGGAAAGUUCACACUGUGACGGUAUCUUACCAGAAAGGGACGGCUAACUACGUG